rnacentral:rRNA from 1 species
UACGUAGGCAGCGAGCGUUGUUCGGAGUUACUGGGCGUAAAGGGUGUGUAGGCGGUUUUCUAAGUUUGGUGUGAAAUCUCCCGGCUUAACCGGGAGGGUGCGCCGAAAACUGGGAGACUAGGGUGCGGGAUGGGAGAGUAGAAUUCCUGGUGUAGCGGUGAAAUGCGUAGAUAUCAGGAGGAAUACCGGUGGUGUAGACGGCUCUCUGGACCGCAACUGACGCUGAGACACGAAAGCGUGGGUAGCAAACAGG